rnacentral:rRNA from 1 species
ACUGCUCAGUAACACGUAGCUAACAUACCCUAUAGUCCGUAAUAACCUCGGGAAACUGAGGGUAAGGACGGAUAAAAGAUUUCUUCUGGAAUGAUUAAUCUUUGAAAAUUCACGAUAGGAUUGGGCUGCGGCUGAUUAGGUAGUUGGCGGGGUAAAUGCCCACCAAGCCUUUGAUCAGUAAGGGCUCUUAGCGGAGAAGCCCUGAGAGGGAAUCUGAGACACUAUUCCCAGCCCUACGGGGUGCAGCAGUCGGGGAAAUUUUGCAAUGCACGAAAGUGUGACAAAGCAAGCCAGAGUGUUUUUCAUAUAAUUUGAAAAUCUUUUGCGGGAUGUAAAAAGUCCCGAGAAUAAGGACCGGGCAAGACUGGUGCCAGCCGCCGCGGUAAUCCCAGCGGUCCAAGUCGCAGCCACAAUUAUUGGGUCUAAAAUAUCCGUAGCUUGCUUUAUAAGUCUCUUGUGAAAUUUGGCCUCUUAAGGGUCGGGCGAGCAAGAGAUACUAUUUAGCUUGAGACCGGGAGACGUAAGAAGUACAGUUAGGGUAGCGGUAAAAUGCGUUGAUCCUUUCUGGACUAACAAUAGCGAAGGCAUCUUACGAGAACGGAUCUGACAGUGAGGGAUGAAGGCUAGGGGCGCAAAGUGGAUUAGAUACCCAUGUAGUCCUAGCAGUAAACACUGCACACUAAACAUUGGGGCCUCUUCGGGAGGUUUCAGUGCUGUAGAGAAGUCGGAGAGUGUGCUACCUGGGAAGUAUAGUCGCAAGACCGAAACUUAAAGGAAUUGGCGGGGGAGCA